GAGCUGGGUUCAGAACGUCGUGAGACAGUUCGGUCCCUAUCCGCUGCGCGCGUAGGAAUCUUGAGAAGAGCUGUCCUUAGUACGAGAGGACCGGGAUGGACAUACCUCUGGUGUACCAGUUGUCGUGCCAACGGCAUAGCUGGGUAGCUAUGUAUGGACGGGAUAACCGCUGAAUGCAUCUAAGCGGGAAACCCACCUCAAAACCAGGUUUCCCUUGAGAGCCGUUCUAGACUAGGACGUCGAUAGGCCAGGUGUGGAAGCGCUGCGAAGCGUGGAGCUUACUGGUACUAAUUGCUCGAUAGGCUUGAUC
rnacentral:rRNA from 14 species